GUGGGUUAGAGAAGAUUUCAAGGAAAAUAAAAGCAGCGAGGAAAACAAACCAAGUUUCAACAAUUGGUGCAGAUCAAACUAUUUCCAGCGUGGCCAGCGUACAAUAUGACCAGAUCAAUCAUCAAGUACAAUUCCCAUUUGUGCAGUUUGCUGGA